UACGAAGGGGGCUAGCGUUGUUCGGAAUUACUGGGCGUAAAGGGCGCGUAGGCGGUUGGAAUCGUCGGAUGUGAAAGGCCUGGGCUUAACCUGGGAACGGCAUUCGAGACGGUCCGACUAGAGUGUGGGAGAGGAUGGUGGAAUUCCCAGUGUAGAGGUGAAAUUCGUAGAUAUUGGGAAGAACACCGGUGGCGAAGGCGGCCAUCUGGACCACAACUGACGCUGAGGCGCGAAAGCGUGGGGAGCAAACAGG
rnacentral:rRNA from 1 species